rnacentral:misc_RNA from 1 species
AAAAAAAUAUUUAAAAAAUAAAAAGUAUUAUAAUUUUGACAUAAAUAAAUAAAAAUUUUAAAUAUAUUGAACAUAAACUUGCGCUUUGGAAGUGGUUACUGAUUCCUUUAACGAGUCUAGAAUUUCUGUUGCCGUCGGCGUGCGGAAAACGCAGGUAGACUUCUCCUUCUUUGAAAAUAUAAUUUAAAUGCUAUUAAAAAAGAUAAUUUAAAAAAAUUAAUAUUUUACUAUUAUUAUGAAUAAAAUUUAUUAAAUUUAAUUUUA